rnacentral:rRNA from 1 species
ACUCCUACGGGAGGCAGCAGUGGGGAAUAUUGCACAAUGGGGGAAACCCUGAUGCAGCCAUGCCGCGUGUGUGAAGAAGGCCUUCGGGUUGUAAAGCACUUUCAGUAGGGAGGAAGGUAGUGUAGUUAACACCUGCACUAUUUGACGUUACCUACAGAAGAAGCACCGGCUAACUCCGUGCCAGCAGCCGCGGUAAUACGGAGGGUGCGAGCGUUAAUCGGAAUUACUGGGCGUAAAGCGCAUGCAGGCGGCCUGUUAAGUCAGAUGUGAAAGCCCGGGGCUUAACCUCGGAAUUGCAUUUGAAACUGGCAGGCUAGAGUCUUGUAGAGGGGUUAGAAUUUCAGGUGUAGCGGUGAAAUGCGUAGAGAUCUGAAGGAAUACCAGUGGCGAAGGCGGCCCCUGGACAAAGACUGACGCUCAGAUGCGAAAGCGUGGGAGCAAACAGGAUUAGAUACCCCGUGGUAGACUGUCA